AUGUCCUGGACUUUUGAUUAUCUUUGGCAUGAAAAAUACAACAAGCAGAGGAAACACAUCGGCACAAAAGCCUGCAGUCCGGCAGCUACAUUUUCUCUGUGGGAGCAGAUUCUCAGUGUCUUCCAAGAAGGCGCAACAUGCUGCAUGCCCAGUGAGUUGGAUUUAGUAGCAAAAGAGGUUGGAGUUCUCCGGAAUGACAAAGAGACCAGAGAGCACCGAACCUAUGGCUGCUUUUGCCUUUGCUCCUCUCUGUGUAGCGAUGCCUGUCAACAUCCACCAGAGAGCAGAGCAGCUCUGAAGACCCAGGCCUUUUAUGCUUUGGAAAUCAAUGGAGACAGCUACACAGCCAGAUCUCGGCCAAACAACAUGGAUUGCAGUUCAUUUCAAAGAAUCUCAUUGUCUUCAGCAUUCCAUUGCUACACACCCAGGGUGGACACAACCCCCUGAAGACCUCUCCGCCCCAGAGACACCUUCUUUGACUCAUUGGAAACUUCCAUGUCCAGCUGGGAGAAGAUCCUCAGCAGUGUCAUCAACUCCUCAACCAAUCAGCGUGCGCACCGGCUAAGGCCUGCUUCUCAACCAAUUAGAGGCCUGAGAAAUGCCGGUUGGCUUUCUGGCACUGGCCAAUCAGGGAAAUAGGAGGGAAUUUCAAAUUGUAGCAAUGUUACUGCAUGAACAUUCUUAUGUAUAAAGAUGACUGCUUUUUACAUAUAAUUUGUGUUUGUAUCCUUUUACCACUCAUUGCUGUACAAAUGUCCCUUCUGUGCAGACUGAAUAAACACUUCUGUCAUUUGCCUUCAACCUGGUGAGAUUCCUGAUUCCUGAUUUGAAAUAUUCGCAGUUAGUGAAGCUUGCCCGGCAUCCCUUGGUAUCUGCUGGUCCUUGAAAAACCUCCAAUUUCCGGCAUCGUGUGUGUGAAUGAGAGAGAGAGGGAGGGAGGGAGGGAUAUGGGUUGGUUGUUAUUGAUUCAAACUCUCCUUUUCUUCUCUACUUCUGCCUGAUUUUUCAAGAGCUCCCUAAUAUUGGUUUAGAAACAUAAAUAUACAAGAAGAGCCAUGUUGGAUCAGAUGAAAGAACUACUUCAUUUUACAUUUUGUUCACGCAGGUUUCUCUUUUAAGAUUUCUAACUUAUGCAACACAACCCACCGCUUAAUAUAUAGAAUAACAUCAUCUUCAGUAUGCCUGUCCCUGUCACUGCUAUGGAGUUAGUAUCCAGAGAGAACAGUAUUUCAUUGGUUCUCUCUGUUUUGCCUGCCAUACCCAAGUUUCCCUUUAAAACAAAGCACUCAACUCCCUCUUUGUGGUUCAGAGAUGUCUGGCAUAAGCAUAGAAACAGCCAUGCAUCACAUCCAUAUUUAGAUGUCUCUGUUACAUUCAUUUUCCAUUUGGACCCUAGACCUCUUUGAUUGGCUGUCAUGUUCUACUACAUGUUCAUGGCCCAUUUCUAUCCAGUCCCUAUUUUGCCAAUCACAAGCAUUUUCAUUUUAAUCCAUUUGGAAUGGAUAAACCAAAACCAGAUCUCGUUGGUGUUCCUCUAGUGUCCAGUCUAGAUUGUUUAAAUCUUACACUCCGACAGUAGUAUUUCUUUGCGAUUAUGCUGCCUUGGCAAUCCCAAGCUUUCAUUCUCCAUCCUAAUAAACUAAAUUUUGCUCUUUGAACUUCACAACUAUGGCCCUUUCUGCAUUGCCAUAUAAUUCAGAUUAUCAAAGUAGAUAAUCCACUUUAUCUGCUUUGAACUGGGAUUAUAUGUGUCUACA
rnacentral:lncRNA from 1 species